rnacentral:lncRNA from 1 species
GGUUAUUUAUAUCCUGUAGAAGUCGGUGGUAUUAAAUCCACUCAAGAAAUAAGAGAAGUCAGCAGCUAAGUCACGCAAAACCUUUGUCAAAAGAUUGUAGGGUGAAUGUGUUUUUUUGCAUCCAAUGCUUUAUGUGUGGGUCUAAUACAGAUUCUGUGCAUGCAUCUGCUGCAGGGACCUUUUCAGAAGAGCCUCUUAAGACACAUGUUUCGGAAUGGGGUCAAAUGCGUGCUGCUGUAUGACCAGCCUAUUUGAUUAUGCCUCCAAAUCCUACGGAAGUAUAACAACCACAGAAGAGAUAAAACCCAACAGCAUCAACAACAGAGAAGAUCAGUUCAGGAAGAUAUGAAACCCUUUGUAAUAAAGAAAGCAACACUGUGAA